AACGAACGCUGGCGGCAUGCCUAAUACAUGCAAGUCGAACGAGAUCUUCGGAUCUAGUGGCGCACGGGUGCGUAACGCGUGGGAAUCUGCCCUUGGGUUCGGAAUAACAGCGGGAAACUGCUGCUAAUACCGGAUGAUGACGUAAGUCCAAAGAUUUAUCGCCCAGGGAUGAGCCCGCGUAGGAUUAGGUAGUUGGUGGGGUAAAGGCCUACCAAGCCUACGAUCCUUAGCUGGUCUGAGAGGAUGAUCAGCCACACUGGGACUGAGACACAGCCCAGACUCCUACGGGAGGCAGCAGUAGGGAAUAUUGGACAAUGGGGGCAACCCUGAUCCAGCAAUGCCGCGUGAGUGAUGAAGGCCUUAGGGUUGUAAAGCUCUUUUACCCGGGAUGAUAAUGACAGUACCGGGAGAAUAAGCCCCGGCUAACUCCGUGCCAGCAGCCGCAGUAA
rnacentral:rRNA from 1 species